GAAAGCCGUAUGCGAGGAAAUCUUGCACGUCCGGUUCGGAGGAAGGCCAUUGAUACCUGACGAAAGGCUCGCAGCUGAAUAAUUGGGCUUAGUGGCCCAUCUCUUAC
rnacentral:ncRNA from 1 species